UACGUAGGUGGCAAGCGUUGUCCGGAUUUACUGGGCGUAAAGAGCGCGCAGGCGGUCGAUCAAGUCGUGUGUGAAAGCCCCCGGCUCAACUGGGGAGGGUCACGCGAUACUGAUCGACUCGAAGGCAGGAGAGGGUAGUGGAAUUCCCGGUGUAGUGGUGAAAUGCGUAGAUAUCGGGAGGAAUACCGGUGGCGAAGGCGGCCUUCUGGACGGUGACUGACGCUGAGACGCGAAAGCGUGGGGAGCAAACAGG
rnacentral:rRNA from 1 species